UACAAUAAAUUGGAAAGGCUGGGAAAGAACAGAUCCAAGGGAAACCUGGAAAGAGUUCUGCAAGCUUUUACCCCUGUUACGGCCUGAGGCAAAUUCAGCAGAGGGGAAACAGAUGCCCUUGCCCAGUCUGCUCCCACGUAAAAGGAGUGCUUUUGAUGCUAAGGAACAAGACUUCAAACAGACCUUCUUUCUCUCUGAUGUCCAACUCUAGUCAUGCAACAAUGGCUUUUGAUUAUUCCUGAGCCAAGCUGGAUGCUGACGGGUGAAAUCAUUUGUGGCAUGUUAUCAACUACUUCAGUUCACUUCUGCUAAAUAAUGAAAUCCAGUAAUAAAUUGAACACACAAGCAAAAUCUCUUAAACAUGCUCUGGGGGGCUCUACCUAUUUUAUUUCUUCUCUCAUGAUAUUCCUUUUCUCUAUGUGUGAGCUG